rnacentral:rRNA from 1 species
GCCAGACUCCUACGGGAGGCAGCAGUGGGGGAUAUUGCACAAUGGGGGGAACCCUGAUGCAGCGACGCCGCGUGGGUGAAGGAGCGUUUCGGCGCGUAAAGCCCUAUCGGCAGGGAAGAAGGAGGACGGUACCUGACUAAGAAGCCCCGGCUAACUACGUGCCAGCAGCCGCGGUAAUACGUAGGGGGCAAGCGUUAUCCGGAUUUACUGGGUGUAAAGGGGGCGCAGACGGCAGCGCAAGCCAGGAGUGAAAGCCCGGGGCCCAACCCCGGGACUGCUCUUGGAACUGCGCGGCUGGAGUGCAGGAGGGGCAGGCGGAAUUCCUGGUGUAGCGGUGAAAUGCGUAGAUAUCAGGAGGAACACCGGUGGCGAAGGCGGCCUGCUGGACUGCGACUGACGUUGAGGCCCGAAAGCGUGGGGAGCAAACAGGAUUAGAUACCCGCGUAGAU